AGAGUUUGAUCAUGGCUCAGAGCGAACGCUGGCGGCAGGCCUAACACAUGCAAGUCGAGCGCCAGCAAUGGGAGCGGCAGACGGGAGAGUAACACGUGGGAACGUGCCCUUCAGUUCGGAACAACCAAGGGAAACUUUGGCUAAUACCGGAUACGUCCGAAAGGAGAAAGAUUUAUCGCUGAAGGAGCGGCCCGCGUCUGAUUAGCUAGUUGGUGAGGUAAUGGCUCACCAAGGCGACGAUCAGUAGCUGGUCUGAGAGGAUGAUCAGCCUCACUGGGACUGAGACACGGCCCAGACUCCUACGGGAGGCAGCAGUGGGGAAUAUUGGACAAUGGGCGCAAGCCUGAUCCAGCCAUGCCGCGUGGAUGAUGAAGGCCCUAGGGUUGUAAAGUCCUUUCGUUGGGGAAGAUAAUGACGGUACCCAAAGAAGAAGCCCCGGCUAACUUCGUG
rnacentral:rRNA from 1 species